rnacentral:rRNA from 1 species
UACGGGGGGAGCAAGCGUUGUUCGGAUUUACUGGGCGUAAAGGGCGCGUAGGCGGCGCGGUAAGUCACUUGUGAAAUCUCUGAGCUUAACUCAGAACGGCCAAGUGAUACUGCAGUGCUAGAGUGUGGAAGGGGCAAUCGGAAUUCUUGGUGUAGCGGUGAAAUGCGUAGAUAUCAAGAGGAACACCUGAGGUGAAGACGGGUUGCUGGGCCAACACUGACGCUGAGGAGCGAAAGCGUGGGGAGCGAACAGG